UAAAACUAUGAUUUUGAAUUCCGGAAUUACUUACAUUAACAAAAUAUGAUAGAAAUAGACAUUUGCUUUAGAAUGAGCUAAAUACUGAAUUUUUAUAUACACAGUAAGAUUUGGUAGCAGUUUAAAUAUUUUCAGAAAACUGAAUCCAAGACUCUUUAUUUAUGUUUACUGCAAUGCAAGGAGAGAGUCUUAAGUCAACUAUUAAUAUAUCUGUGCUAUAUUUUCCUCUAAGGAUUUGGGAACAGAAUUAUGCUGUUCUCAUGAAAACAAUAUUUGUCCAGCCCUUACAGAGGGUUGCAAUGCACUCUAUUACUUUUAAAACAAAAAUAUCACUCAGUUUAGAUUUAAAAUGUAAUGCUUUUCUCUUUUCUUUUCUUUUCCCCCCCUUUUUUUUUUCUUUUUUUUUUUCCUUUAUCUUUCAGCCCAAGAACUUGCCAGUCAAGAUGAAAAACUUCUUCUAAUGGAAUCCAGCUUGAAAGCAACUCAAGAGCAGCUAAGUGAGCAAACAGCAGAAACAGUUCACCAAGAACAGAACAGUAGAAAAUCACAGACAGAGCUGAAAGAAGAUCCUGAGAGAACGUAUUAUAGCUUCUGAUGAAGAAAUUAGUGAUUACAAGUGAGUAACUGCUUUUAUAGUAUUUGAUAAACAGAAGACAUUAAAGACAGCAGCAAAUUCUUUUAAUAAGUAUUAUGUUAACCAUUUAUUUCUGGCAAGAUGUAGUGUAAAUAUGUUCUAUAGCUACUGAAUAAACUAUUAAAUCUAAAAGAUUGAUUAAUGUGUACUUUAAAAUAUAUUUUGCACUUAAAAUUAAAAAAAAAUACUUUUGUUAGUGGUCUAUUUUACUUUUGGAAUGAAAAAGAGAAAAAGAUUCUAUGGUGUUGAAGUAGAAUAAUAUUUGUUACUUCUAUCUUAAUAUUAUUCUCAUCUUCCUAUUUUUAGCAACUGAAGUUUAAAUAUGCAUUUUAUUUUCUUUAUUUUUUUUAGAAGCUGUCUCUAAGCAAGAUGCUGCCAAAUAAAAGGAAAUUUAGUGUUUGAACUUUUAGUCACAACAGUAAGGCACAUAUGAGAUUGCAUACUAUACUUGAGAAAAGUUUAAACAGAAAAAUGUACCUCUAUUCUCAGAAAAAAAAAAAAUAGUAUCUAUAAGUUUAUAAGUUUAAAUGUUAGCUCUGAAGAUUUUAAUUAAAAAAUACUAAUCUUCAACAAAUAACUUUUAUAAAUUAUAAUGACUUUAAAUGUAUUUUUAUAUUGAGACACAAAAUGAUACAUUAUUCAGAUUUUUCAAGAUCUACAGUAUGGUAGAAAUGAUUCACUACUGCUUCUUUUUGCCUUAUUGUAUGCAAACUGUUACAUAUGUUAUAUUAAAAAAUUGUUAAAUGUAGAGACAGAAACUCAAGCUGUUUUAUAAUAUCAUAGAGUGCAGGUGAAUGCUUUAUAAAGAGAGCAUGACUGAAAUAAAGUUUAUUCAUUCAGUGGUAGGUUGAACAUUUAAAGAGAAAUGUUUUAUCUCAGAUUUGUACCAAGCAUCAAGGACUGUCUCUACAAAUCUCCUCUGAGAGAAGCUUUGCUAGGUUUAGAUGCAAUAAACAUAAUGUUUCAAAAUCACAAUAUGACAAUGUUAUAAUUUGUAUGCUCAGUGUAAAUAGCUUCUAGACUGGAACUUCACUCUGUAUUCAAAAGUUUAAAGCCAAUUUUUCUGCUGAAGACUGGGAAAAUCUCUAUGGGAAGAAAAAAACGCACAAGAACAAAAACAUUGUCUACAGUAAUAUGUCUUCAUUUCUUUAAAUAAAAUAGCUUGGUGGUUUUCAACUUCUAGUUAUACCUCUAAAGACCUUACUACUACUUCUCUAGGGACAGUAGUGUCACUGAUUUGCUUUCCUAACCUAUCUUGACUCCUUUGCUACAGUAAGCUUUCUUAACCAUUUCAAGUGAUUCUUCAGUUGCCAAAAUGCCAUGUUAUGCAAAUUCCUGUAGAUAUUUACUUCAAAAUUAAAAGGUUAAAAUCUUCUAGGAGUACUGGCUGUAAGUUUGUGUGAUACAGUGAUAGAAAUGGUAGGGGAUGUGGGAGGAUUGAAACCUCCAGCUGUAUCUGAUCAAAUGUGUGAUGAAAUACAACACUUGAUAGAGCAGGAAUUUUGCAAAAGUGAAAUGAGUUUCUCUGUUCUUCAAAUAGAAAGACAAAUGAUAAACACUACAAGACUUUGAGACACAUUUCUUUCUUUUUUUUUUUUUUUAUGAUUUCAUAGUAUACAUUUUGUGAAUAAAUAAAAACUUGGAUGAAUCUGUUAACAUACAAAAAUUCACUAAGCCACCUUUUUUUCUGUUUAUAUUUGAUUUUCUUUUUCUGCUCUAUUUUUCUAUUUCUGUUUUCACCAAACUAAUAUGUUUGUUGGCUUUGGAAGUUUGUUAAUUUAGUACAUGAGCAUAAUGUAUUUUGAGUUAGGGGAGUCUUCAGGUUACAGCUCUAUAGAUUGUCAAGAUUAUUUUUAUAGGCUCUUAGGUUAAUUUUUAUGUUUAAGUUUAUGACACUUGUUUUUUAAAAGUACUGUGAUAUUACUGCACGAUUAUAGAGAAGUAUUUGUUGAAUUAGGAAAAUUAACGCUGUAAAUUUAAAAUUUUAAUAAAGUUGAAAUUAUAAAGAUAAAAACUAAGAAACAAAAUUGAACAUUUUAGAUAUUAAAUUCCCCCUUAAAGAUAACAUUUUACUGAAUACCUGAAAACAAACAUGUUGUGCCAGACAGUAUCUGCUGUGCUCUGUUCCUUGAGAGGCAGAAAGAACAAUGGAUCUCUUUCCCCAUGGGUGUUUGGGGACAGGGAAUGUCGUAAAGGUUAUGUUCAUUUACUAUGAAGGGCACAGCACGUGUUGUAAAGUAACAUCCCUUUGGUGCUGACUUAUUCGAAGUCACAUAGUCCUGGACUUUACCUACCACCCUACUUAGUGAUUCUGGCAAAUGCAGAUGGUAUCAAGGUGAGAGCUUAGGACCUUACAAAGAAAAAUGCAGUGAAGCAUAAAUUGGUGGAUUUAAACUACCGAGAGAGUUAAGAUUCUGCUAUAGCUGUUGUGACGCCUAUAAGGAGAAAAGUCCAUUUUUGUAUGCUUUUAUUUCCUUGUAAUGUAAAUGUACAUUAAAGGAUAUUUCUCCUGGAAGUGGUGUAAAAGGAAAGUACUGAAGAGCAUUUAAAAAACAAUAAAACUAGCAUUAUUUGUGCUAGUUUACAAAAAUAUUUUUUUAUAAAAUAGAAUAAAAAUAUUUUACUAACUGUACUGGAUUCUCAAAAUGCAUGUAUUCCAGGUAUAACCAAAAUUUGUAAGUAGUCACAAGCUAUGUUUGCUAUAUACUUAUUCUGGAUGAAAUAAACCUAAAGUUACACACACUCCCCCCCAGCCUCCAAUAUAAGCCUGUUACACUUGAAAGAUUUGUUCGGAAUGUCCAGUGGGAACCUGGAAAUCGUAAUAAUUUGUAGUAUCGAUUGUGUGAAGCUAUGCAGCUGGGGCCUCUAGUGAAUAGACAGGAAUAGACAUUUUAUUGAUUAACUUUUACAGUCAUAUUUUCAAGACUCUGCUGCAACAUAAUUUUCACUUCCCAGCUUUGUGCUGCUGCAUCAUGAAACUUGAAUUCUUCUCUCUUAACAUUUACCCACCUGAGGGAAACAGUAUGGAGUUGUCUCUUUUAAGCUGCGCUCUGCAGAAAUGCAUAACACUUGACACAGUGAAUUCUUCAAAAUUUACCCUCCGCUGUUGCAAUAAAAUGAAAAAUAUUAAGAAGUGAUAUUAGUAUCACCCAAGUUGAACUGCCCACUCCAUAUGUUAGACGCCAUUGUUUCAUACUUCCUAGUAAUUUUAUCCACCUUUUUUUUUAUUUUUAUUUUCUAAGGGGCUAAGAUUGUGGCAAAAAAAAUUGCCACCCUCCUCACACCACAGAUUCCAGCAGUGCUUAAUGGAGUUUGUCUCAUAAUUAAAUAGGUGAUUUUAUUAGUUACUGGAGAAGAAUAAGUGCUUCCCUGAAAAUGUGAACUAUGAAUUAAAAAAUACUCAUUUUUAAGAGUGACAGCCUGUGUCAAAUAAAAUUCCUUGUAAAAGUACAGAAAGGGCAGUUUUUCAUUAUAAUUAUCAAUCUAUCAUUUAACAAUGUAAAAAUAUGUACCAAAAUAGUAAACAGACUAGUCUUAGAAAGCAUUAUUUCACAUUUCUGAAGUUAUUCGUUUUCAGAAAAGAAAAAAAAAAGGGGGGGGGGGGGCAUUUUGCCAUUUUGUAAAGAACUGUUGCAUAUUUUCUGAUUUUUUCCCAGUAUGAUUUGCAUUCUAAAUCAGAUGCCCAAGCCACUAUUCUUUCAUGCUGAUAAAAUUGCUGGUAAAAAUCUCAAUCUAUCAUUUUUUUUUUCAUCUAAUGACUGUUUCUUUGUUGUUGUUGUUGUUGUUAUUUUACAUGGUAACUUUUACUUGAAUGCUGUUUGCAAUGUAAGUUUGAUAACAGCUUUCACAAAAUAGGACAAAUAUUCACAUACAUUGCCACUGGUGCUAAUAUGAUUUAGACUUCUGUCAUUCUAUUAUUUUUCCUAGAGAUAUUUUAUUACUAGUGUCUUCUAAGUAUCUAAAUGUUUAAGAUAUUUGUGGUCAUGUUUCCUUUUGUCCUCCCGCUCAUCAGAUACAUCUCAGUGUGCACUGUAUGGAGACACCAAAGCAGAAAUACUCGCAUAGAUGACAGAAUGUUCAUCUUGUUUGCAGUUGUCUAAACUCUUACAGAAAAAAUCCUGAUUUCUCUUAAAAAAGCAGAAAACUGUGUGGAGAACUUUAAGGUCUGAAAAAUGUGAGUAAUGCCUCCAGAAAAGCUUAAAUGGGAAUCACGCCAAGAAUGUGGGACCAGGAAAGUCAAAUUGUCAGACUGAGACAAAACUUUGUGGAAAUGGAAGAAGAAGUAAAGAACUUAAGACUUACACACAGCAAUGAUGCUCAGAUGGUAAGCGCUGAUUUAUUUGAAAUCCUGUUUGUAUUAUAUUGAGAAAUACUGUACAUGAUUAGUGCAUAUUUCUGUGAACUUUUAACACUUCAGAUGGAUUAGAAUGUCUUAUUUUGAUCAUAUCCAUAUUGUUCAUUGUGAUAAGAUUAGGUCCUGAGUCAUUAAAAAUUGUUUGGCUUAUUUCCAUUACAUCCAAGCAUGUUUUAAGUAGAAAAAUAUAGAAUACGGUUUUCCAUAUUGUGCACACAUAACACAUGUUUGAGAUUAAUCAAACCAUAGUCACCUCUAAUUAACAGCAGGGAACAAUUUCAACAUGGGACAGAGCCAGAUGACAAAGAAGCAAAGCACAUAUUUAAAAGAUGCAGCAUACUAAGAAAAAAAAAUGGAAGGGAGGAUUAUGACUUAAGAAUACUGAAAAGUUUUUAAACCUGUGGUUCUGUGGGUAUGAUUAAUACAAACUAUCAAGUAGGCAAAAGUGUUAUUUUGCUUUGUUUUUUAGCAUAGGCAAAAUUUUCCAGAACCAAACUGUUGCAAAGAUAAGUUGUAAAGGUAAAAAGGUAUUCUGUCUAAGUUAAUAUUCUUGCCCUUUGCCUUUCAAUAAUUACUAAACUAACAAAGGAGAGGACAGACAUUCUGGGAUGCACUUCUUUGGUCAUUUUUGACCACCUUGUGCCAACCAAGCUAAUUUAAGACACAAAAACAUGAGUCUGCCUGGAAAAAAAAAAAAAUCGUAAUUAUUUUUUUUUAGUAUCUAAACCAGAAAAAAAAGAAUCUUAUCAAGGUACCACCUUUCUUUGAGAUGUCAGGAAUCAAAAUUUUUUAACAGAAUGCAUAUCAGAAUUCAAGGUCUCCCCCUUUUCUCCUUUCUCUCUGUAUACACACACACACAUACUCACAUAGAUUUUUUUACAUAUCAUUCUUGGAAAAGAACAUAUUAUUUUCAUUUAAACUUUCCAAGAUAAUUUGGCCUUGAGCAAAAACUCAGCAGGACAAAUUUCAAUAUAAACAAAUGAAGUUUGGCAAAGCUCUAAGCAACUGAAAACUGUGUCUUAUAAUGGAAAAAUUAUGAUAGGCAGCACAACGAUAUACCAAGAUAUUACCAUCCUGCCAACAGAGGAAAAUAAAUCAACCGAAAUUCCUGACAACAUCAUCUUCCUGAAACUGAUGAGAGUAUGCAAAGGCUUUUUGGCUAAUAGAUGUCAAAUGAAACCUUGAAGACAACAAAUAAAAUCCAUAAUGGAAGAAACUUAAACUUAAAACAUAAUGUUUCCUUGAUCAUAAUUUUCAGUGCUGUAUUGUAUGCCAGUCUGUUAAGGAUAACAGUCUGCAAUAGCAUACAAAAAUGCAGGAGAAUUUUUUAAAACAAGGAAAAUAUCCUGUUCUUGUUCUUCCAUUCUUCCAAAAUUUUAAACAGAUCUAUAGGGGAAGGCAUUGUUAUUCAUCAUUAUAGUCAAUAAAACCAUUCUUCUAUGAAAACCAAGAGCUGAUUCUUUCUUUAAUUCUUUGUUUGUUUGUUUUGCAUGAGUUGUUCUGCUUAAGAGGAGGCAAUGGUUCUGUAUGAUUUGGACUUCCCUUUUAUACGGGUAUUUUAGCUGUCAAAGUUCAUAGUAGCAAUAUGUGUUCUUUCUCGAAGUCUAGCAAUCCCUCAGAUUACACAAGGUCCCUUAAGGAAUUUAUAAGUCCUUUAAAGCCUGUAAAAAAUAACAGAAGUUAUUUUCAUAAUUUCUAUGCCUCUGUUCUUACAUCCUGUUUUGUAGAAUAAUUUUAAGUAGAAAUCUCCAUGAGCCUCGCAAUUCAGACAGUCAGUUUGAAGUAGAAAUUUUAUUGCAGCGUAUGUAUUAAGUCCAUCAUUGUCCUUAUGGCUUUCUGAGGAGACUUGAAUGUUCUGUGGAAGAUAUAUUACUAACUACUGUUUUAAUACAAUUUGUCAGAAUGACUUUGGUUUUUUUUCUUUGCAACUAGAAAGCAAAAUCAGUGAGUCUUAUGGCUAAAUAAAAAUAUGGCUAAACAAAACAUAUUACUUUAAUUUUAAUUAAUAAUUAAUUAAUAAUUAAUACUUUAUUACUUUAACCAGAGGUGUCUUCUUGAUCUGAUACACACUGGUUGUUUUUCACUCAUCCUCUUGUUCCAUUGCUUCUAAAAGUUUGUGUAUUCUUUUAUAACUAUUUGAUAGCUGUUUGAACAGGUUAUCUAUUUUCUCACAGACUGGAAAAUUUCCUAGCGAGGCUCAGCCAACCCCAAGCAUGUUUUCUGUUUCAAGUAUUCGUAGGAAGAGUCAGUGGGAAUGCUUUUAGAUGUGAUCAUCACUACUCCAUUAUGGUAGUUUUUUGUAGGUUUUUUUUUUUUUUUUUUUUUUUUUUUUUAAGUAACUAACUUGAAAAGAAAAACUUCCUGCAUUUCUGGAGAGUCUUUGGGAGGGUAAUUACCAGGAAGUUGCCAGUGAAAAAUGAAGAAUAGUUGUUUCCUUGGUACUGAGUUCUUGAUAAUUGCCCAUACAAAUUCCACAAUUAUUCUCUCAUCCCCAUGCACCAAAUGUUUUUAAUUAUACCAGAUUGAUAAGAAUCUGAAUACUCUGAGAAAUGAGAUGAACUUGUAUGAAGACACAUAGGAUGGUAGUCAAAUGAGCUGAAGUUUAAAUAUGAACAACACAAUGCAACACUGAGGCCUGCAUGACUGUAAGAAUGUUAGGUAAGACCCCUUAGUUACUUUUAGACAACUGUUUCUCUGGAAUGUUUCUUUAAUAGAUAUUAAGUCCUUGAAGAGAAAUAGAUUUCUGUAGCUUUGUUUUGCCACUUCAUUUUCAAAUACUAAAUUGAAAAACUGUGUAGAAAGGGAAAUAAUAUCAUAGUAAUUUUAUCAUAAAAGAUACUCAUCAUUUUUUUAAUUAAAAAUAUUCUCUUGUGCAGCUAAUGUUUAGGUGAAGAAAAUGGUGUAGAAUUUUUCAAUACUGAAGUGUAUGAUUUCAAGUCUUGUUUUCAUCCUGUGCAAAGUCAAAUAACUUGUGGACAAAGAAUACAUAAUUUUCCAAAUCUGUGAACUGAAAAUAGAAUGACAGCAGCACGUUUUCUUGAAAACUAAAAAAGAAGAAGAAAUAAUAAAACAAAGAUUUUAUUUUAUUUAACCAUAAGUACUUAUGGAAAACAAAAACAAACAAACAAACAAAAAUGGAUAUUGCAAAUGCAGAUGGUGCACAUUGAUACUCAUAAUUACUAAAUACACUUUCCGUAUCUCAUAACACAUUAAUAUACAAUAUAAAAAGAGCUGGAAUAGUUAUAGUCAUUUUCUUUUUACUGCUAAAAAAUUGAAUUUAUGUCAGUUAGUGUAUUGAAAGCUCUGAAGUGUCACUAAAAAGUGAAGUUUAUAAUUAUUCGGACCUACUAUCAGAAAUUCCUUAAGAUUGUUACAGCUCUUACAAUAAAUAUUUGUCUGCCCCGUAUUUGUAAAAACAUACAAUAUUGGAACAACAACAACAACAAAAAGUUAAGUAUUGUUUUGAACUGGGAAACACUAAGUUGUGAUAGAUUUGCAGUAAUACUCUUGAAAAUAUAAUUUAAAUUCACACUUAUAUUUGUGAUAAAAAAUGCUUCAUGGCAUUUUGUAACACUUCUAUAGGGCAUCACUAUUACCUCGGUUUGUAUUGAGACACUGUUGCUGUUUGAAAAGUUAAUCAUGCAGUACUGCUCCAUUCCCCUGGGAGAAAGGUGCUGGGGAAGGAAAAAAUCCAAUUGAGGUAGCAGAAAUUAAUUUAUUAAAAGGAAUGUGAGAUAAUAGAGAAUAAAUAAGAGUAAUAAAUCAAAACAAACCAAAAAUAAAACUGGAGGAGAGAGAGAGAGUCCAUCCAAAUCUUUAUCAGCAGGCCCUCCACUGUUUGCUUCCUGUAAAAGACAAGAGAGUUCUUCCCUUGUAACCCAGAAUUGGAACCAUGUGGAGGCUGCUGGAAAAUUCAGUACAUCCCAGUGCAUCUUUGCCUGGGGGAGUCAGAACUCACAUGAGAUUGCUAGAGAUAAACAGGAAACACAUCUCCGCAGUGCACUGUGCACUCUGCGUCCAACAGCCUGUUGCAUGAUAUUACGAUAUGGAAUAUUGAUAUAACCAGAACAGAGAUACAGUUGCAAUAUUUAAUAACUUAUAAUAUUGGACAAAAUAAAAAAGCUGCAAUUAAAAAAAAAAAAAAAAAAGGCCUGAAUAAUAGUUGUGAUAAUAAUUUAGUUUUUAUUAUAGCAGUUUACAGUCAGAGAUUUCAUAUUUUCAGAAGAUGUGCAAUUAUUGUUAUUUUUAAUACUAUGAUUUUACUUGUGUGUAAUAUGAUUUUACAUUUAUAUAUGUACUUUGAGGUAUAAAAUUGAUUUUUUUUUUUUUUUUUGGAUCACAGGAUAGAAAAUUGUCUUUGGUAGCAGCAAAGAUUAAAAAAAUAGUAUCACUUAAAUAAAUACAUGUGAAGAAGCCAAAUUUGUAACAAAAAGGAAACCAGUAAAUGAAUUCACAAAAGCCAGCUACUACAUAGCAAAUCUCUGUAUAAAUGGGCUGAGAGUAUGUACCAAGAAGAAGGCAAGUAUCUAUUCUUUUUCAAUGGGAAAAACAAAAAACAAAAAACAAACAAACAAAAAAGCUAUUUCAUCCUUACUUUGGGAAAAAGGCACACAAAACCAAAGCAAAAAAUGCCUCACUGACUGCAUCUGUCCAUUCUGUACUGUAAUUUGUUUCCCGCUAUGAAGAUUUAGGUUAAAUUCAUUUCUAUUAUUAAAGACAAAUAAGCUGCAAAAGAACUAAUUCUCUGUCUCCAUCUUUUACAUGUAUAUUUAUUCAUAUGAAUGCACUUUUGUUCAUUUAUUUUUACUUCUACCUUGACAAAGCUGUGCAAAAAAUAACAUAGUUUGAUUACUCAUAAUUUGCAUUUGUGUAAUUAAUAGGGAUGAAAAGGAUUAAAAUCAAUGGAGAAAUAUUUAUUUGUUUAAAUUGGAUAACUAUGGAAAAACUAUUUGGCAGGAAUGAAAGCUUUUCCAUCUAAAUUACGUCAUAUAAUUUAAACUGUUUUAGUUUUUAAGCUUAAAAAGCAUGAAAAUCACAAAGCAGAACUGGAAGAAGACACAGAAAAAUACUGCCAUGUAAAGGAAGAGCCUUCAGAACAAGGGUCUCAGCUCAAAAUUAGCUAGCUGGUCCAUUCUGGAGUGGGAAAACUGAUAAAAUGCCGCAGUACUCAGGUAAUACCCUUGAUACAAUAUGUGGAAGGGAGACAGUGUUUGAAGUAAUAUCAGUGAAUGUAUCAGAGUACUCUCAGAGAAUUUUUCCAACGGAUAAGGAAAUAUUAUUUAAAUAAUACUAACUGUAAAAUUCACUCAUGAGUGAUUGAGAAAACAUGAGAAAUAUUGUUGAAAAUAUCAAGUCAAUAUAACAGCAGCAUUUCUUCUUUUAAAAGUGUUGUGGGUGGGAUUCACCUUGUUGAACUGGAGGUAGGAAUAUUUGAAAUAGAUGUCUAAGUUCCAUUGCUGUCAUUGGAGACUUAAUCAACUCAGUGAGUGAAAUCAAGGGCUAUCAAUACCUUUCAUUACCCAAAGUGAACCUACAGAAAAGCUGGAGAGUGACUCUUUAUCAGGUAGCAUUGUCAUAGGACAAGGGAUAGUUGCCUUCAACUAAACUAGAUUAGACAUUAGAAAGAAAUUCUUCACUAUGAGGACAGUGAGAUACUGAAAUAAAUUGUCCAUAGAAACUGUGGAUGCUCCAUCUCUGGGAGCAUUCAAACGUAGGUUGAGUGAAGCCCUUGGCAACUUGAUCUCAUGGAAGGUGACUGUGCUAUGGCAGGGAAUUAGAACUAGAUGAAUUUAAGUUCUCUUCCAAACCAUUUUAUGAUUCUAUGACUAAAUAUUGAUCCAAUCAAUAUUAAGGUUUUCAGAGGAGCUGAAAAUCAAUCCCAGUGACAAUAUUAUUCAUUGUGAUAGAACACAUUCACACACCGUAAUGCAGACAUCCAAAUUUGGGUAAGAAUAAUCAGAUUAGAAAAGUUAGCCUUUUUGCAGCAAUUCAUUAUAUAAUACGGAAUUAUUUUAUUUAUUUUUGUUACUAAUAAGAGUACUAGAUGUUUCACAAGCAUAGAUACUGGUCAAUUAUCUGAGCAAUAUCCAAUAUAUAAAUACACAAAGUUAGAAGGAAAUGAUCAAUGCCAGAGAGAAAUAAAAGUUAAAAUAAUACAUGCUUUUUCUUCUGUGUCUGAGAGAAUGUGAGUAGAUGUGAAAGUUGGAAAACCAAAAGAAUUAGUAGUAUGACAACAUUCCUUUUCUACCCUAGCAUUGUCAAAAGAUAACAAGAUUAAUUCUCUGCUGUAGUAUUUCACUACAGUAGUGUGUUAAUUUGAGGGGCUUGGCUGAGCCUUAUUCAGCAUAUAAUUAGAAUUUACUGAACUUUAAUUUCUUAUCAUCUUUAGGCUGCAUUAUCAAAGUGUUUAUAUUGAAACAUUCAAAUGUUCAGUUAAAAAUAAACUUCAGUUUGUCAAGGAUACAUUGUAUACAAAUUCUGUGGAAAUAUUUGAAUAAAAUUGUUCACUUUUGCUUUGUGAGAAAUGCUUUGCACUUUACAUAUUUAUAACAUAAUGUCAUUAGAGUAUGUAUCUUAGAAAUAUAGCAAUUUCCUGGUGAAUUUAUUGAAUAAAUGCUUAUCUAAUAAGUAAUUUGAGAGUAGAGAAAGAUCUAAUGAAAAGCUAAAUACACAGUGAAAUCCUAAUCAAGCAAUUGAAAUAGUUACUCAUGAUAAAACUAAGAUUAUCAGAGUAUCAGAACACAAAUUACUCCAUUAAUCUUUUGAAUUAGUCAGUUCUUAUUUUCUGAAGCUAAGUAACUUGGGAAGGUACACUCAAGGUUUCAUCUUUCUGAAGACUGUAUUUAUUACCUUUACUUUCAUAAAGAGUUCAUUAGAAAGAAUAUUACAGUGAAAUACGUUAACUUUUUAGCCUGUUUUAAUGAGGUCAUGUGAGUCUUUAAUUAUCUGACAUAAAACUGCUUAGUUUUACGUAGUAUCUACAGAUACUAAUUAGUAUCUACAUAUAUACAUUAGUAUCUACAUCAAUUAGUAUCUACAGAUAUUAACGGAUUCAUAUGUCAUAAAGCCAGAAGAAACGCUGUUAUUGAAUCUUAUAUGUGGCACAAUGCAGGCCACAGGACUUCACUGAAUUGAGUAGUUGUAAGAGAUUAUUCUUUUAUAUGAUUGACUCAAAGUUUGCUGAGGAACAAGUCCAGGCAAGUCCUGGGCAAAGGUACAGAAAUCUUCUGUCUGGAGGACACUGAUGGACAGGUCCUGGCUAAAGGAUUGUGAAGUCCUUUAAGGAGCACAGAUGGACGAGGCCAGGGGCAACGAGAGAGGGAUAAGCUGCUGAUAAUGGCUGAGAAAUGGUCUUUUGUGUGGACUUAUCUAGAAGAAGAUGGCCAUCUCAGGAGCUACGCACAUGACUCUUGCUCAAGCACCCAGGGAUGUCACGUAGGCAGGAAAAAGAGGAGGAUAAAAGAGGGUCUAACAACCAUGAGGAGAGGGUUUCUGCCAUCAGAUCCCUCACCACGACGGACUCAAGGUUUCUGCCAUCAGAUCCUUCACUACGGACCAUAUGCUGAUGGACUUCCCUGGGCCUGCUACCUGAGACCUGCUGCUUCCUCCCAGACUUACUCUGCGGCUUCUUCCUGGACCCACCCGGUACCUGCACCCUCUCGUUGCCCAAGACCGGCCUCGCUGCUCCUGCCCUUCAGCCUCGGACCAUCAGAACAUCGUGCAACAGGACUACUGCUGGUGGUGACUAUCCCCGCUUUAUGCAAUUCUUGCUUCUUUCUAUCUUUUCUAUCGCUCGCCUUCCCUUUCCCAUCACCCCAAUCCAUAAUAGUGUCCGUCCUCCCCUUUCUUCAUCUCCCUUAUUAACAUAUGUAAUAAACUGGUCGGACCAACAUUUGAACCGUUGUUUCUUAAUCUCACGCCGGGCAUACAUAUUUCAAAGAACCUCCUCUCCCUCCUAUAAAUUGGAGUGAGACAGUAGUACAUUAUGUCUAAGUAAAUGUGAUUAAAAUGGAGUAUAUUAAAAUGGAGCAUACAUUUUUUAUACAUUCUUGACUUUAAAUAUACACAAUGUUAGAGAAUUCAUUACGGUCUUUCACAGGUUGCCUCAAUAGUUAGUAAAACAUAUAGCAUGCUGACUGUUCAUCAUUUUAGCAUCUUUCUUGGAAUGUUAUACAAAUCUCAACAUAUAUAAAAAUAGUUUUUAUGUCAUCUUUAUCAAUAACAUUUGAAAUAUCAUAAAACUGAAAGAGCAGAUAGUUUUACAAGAUGUGUUUACAGUAAAUCCACAGUAACUUUGGUUAUUAUAUUAAUGCACAUUUGUUAUAUGUAUCUACAGCUAACACAAAUUACUGUGGAAUUAUGAUAUUAGCUGUCCUGAUAUUUUGCUUGAAAGAGAUAAGUAACUACCCUCCUUGAAUUACUUGAAUCACCCUCUUAAAACCUAAGAAAUAUUAGCACAGAAUUAACAGAUAAAUUAAUCUGUACUGUUUUGGAAGUUUUUAAGGUUGUCAAGACCAAACACUGUAAAUAUGGCCUAGAAAUUCUUUUCAAAAGCACUUCAAAAGCACUUAGAUAUGUUUUACGUAGACAAUUUGAAAUAUAUUUAUACUUAUGUGAUUGCAGUCACUUUUAUCCUAAGACUAAAAUACCAUACAUUCUUCAGUUAUAAUAGAAUAUUUCACAUGAAGGGUUCUACAGAGAUCAUCAAGUCCAACUGCCUGACAACUUCAGAGGUAACCACAAGUUAAGCGUAUUACUGAGGGCAUUAUCCAAAUGCAUCUCAAGUAAUAUUAGGCAUGGGACAUCAGUCAUCUCAUUGCAGUGAGAUAAAAGCCUGUUCCACUGUUUGAUGAUAAAUAAAUGUCCAGUAUAGUCUGAAACUCCCCUGGCACAGCACAGCUGUGUGCCACUCCUGUGCAACCUGCAAUCAGCACAGAAGAUACCAGGGAGCAGAGACCAGCACCUCCCUCUGUACUUCCUCUCCUCAAGGAGCUGCAGAGAGCAGUAAAGUCAUCUUGUAGACUCCUAUUCUCCAGGCUAGACAGUCCAAGAGUCCUCACCCUUUCCUUACUAGACAUGUCUUCCAUUCUGAUUACCUGCUUUGUUGCCAUUGUCUGGACACUUUUAGAUAUCUUAAUAAUGUUUUUAUGUUGUGGGGCAUACAUUAUUCAAGGUGAGGUUGCACCAACUCCAAAUAUAUCAGGACAAUCACCCCAAAAAGCAGUUUGCCCUUUUGGCAACCAACACUGCUGGUUCAUACUGAGCCUGCUAUCAUCAGCCCUCCUAGAUCAAUUUGUUCUGAGCUGCUCUCCAGCCAUUCAUCUCUCAGUUUGUGUCAUCUCUCAGGUACUGUGCCAGGCAUAGUACCUGACAUUUACCUUUGUUGAACUUCACGCCACUGUUUCCCCAGUGCUCCAAUCCAUCCACAUUGCUCUACAAGACCUCAGCAACACAACUGACCAUCUACUAGCCAAAUGGGUCUCCAUCACUACAACACUUUGAGUUCUACCAUUGAGCCAGUUUAUCACCCUGCAUAGUGUGAACAUACUUAUCUCACAGUUGGACAAUUUGUACAGAAAGUUGCCAUGAAGGAUCAUAUCAAAGGCUUUACUGAAUUCUAGAAAGAUGACGUACGCUGCCUUCCUUCAUCCACCAAGUGGGUAAUCUUAUAAAAAGAAAUCAAAGCAAUGAAGACAGGGCUUUCCCUUCAUGAACCCAUAUUGACUAUGCCUGACAAUGGCUUUGUCCUUCAAGUGCCUUUCAGUAACACUCACUAUAAUCUUCUCCAUAAAUUUUUAGGGUACUGAAGUUAGGUUAACAAGUCUGUUACAGAUUUGUUACUUUUGUUACUUUGUUUUCAGUAAGUUCUUUCUCUUUAUUUUUUGUUUGUUUGUUUAUUUUACUUUGUUUUGGGAAGAGGAGAGCUUGUGGUGGGGAGUGGGGUUUUGUCAUCUACGUAGUGCUAUUGAAGAUAAUACUACUUUUUUAUAUUUAAACAUUUGAUCCUCAGAAAGUUUCAUCCUAUUCUUUCAUGUUUACGAGAUUUUUCUCUCUUCAAACACUUUUUUUCUUUGUAUGAACAUUUGCAAAUGAGUGUGUACAUGCAUAUCAAUGACCAUGAGUACAUGGGGCUUAUCUGUUCCUCAAAAAUAUGACUUGGUCAAAAUUACUUUUGCAUAAAGAACAACUGAAUUUCAGCAACGUAAUCCUUUCCUACUCAUAAGUCUUAAAUUAAUGUGCAAAAUUGAAUUAAUCAGCAUAUUUAAUUACAAUUUUUUUGUUAAACUUAUUUAUCUGUGAAGGUGUUAUGUAUAAUUUUUGAAAGUUAAUGGAUACAUUAUUAAGCAAAGAGUAACAGCUCCAACAAACCAGAAUUAUUUAAGUCUCUGAGGAAAACUAAGAUUUCCCUUCUGAUUCAUCUUUAAAAUCCUGUUUUCAACAUCUUUGCAAAGUUAAUUUUAGUUUUUUAAAAGCCAGGUAACUUAAAAUAAUUUUUCUGCCCUUCAUUCCUCUUUUGUUUAUCGUGUUUUUCAGAAUGUUGUUCCAUUAGUGACUUUGAAGUCAGUGAUGUUAGAUCAAAUUAUUCAAAUUACUAGCUUUUGUUGUUGCUGGUGCUGUUUUGUGGGUUUUUUUUCUUUUGUUUUGUUUUGUUUUGAUUUUCCUCUUAUGAAUGUAAUUUACUGGUGUAGUGGUUAUUAGAACAGAACUUCACAGUGUUUGUGUUUUGUCUUAAUUAUAAGUAAUUUUAUAUCACUAAUAUUAUCAGUAAACUUGUUUGUGUAUAUUUUACUCAAUGAAAUGUUAAUGCCAAACUUUGAACAGAAACUGUACUGACUACUUCUAUCUUAAAACAGACAGUACCAGUAGCUGAUUGUUUUACUUUUGUUUCCUUUCAUCAAACAACUCUAUUCAGAAGGUGAAAAUUUCCUUUUCUUCUUUUUGAUGGAAUUUCUUUUCAUUUCUCCCCUUUCUUUUCAUAGUUUUACAAACGGUCAGUUACACAGUUUAUUACAAAAUAUGUUGAGGCACAUGCCUAGAAGGUGUGUUGAAUGGCAUACUCCAUCUACUUGUGGCAUCUAUGCAUAUUAAGUUGUUAAAAGCAUGUUUGUCAAACUUAUAUGACAGUUUUAGCAAUUGUAAAAACGCAUAUUUGCUAUGCUAUGCUAGAAGAAGAGGAAGAAAAAGAAGAAGAGAAGUGAAAAAAGAGAGGAGAGGAGAGGAGAGGAGAGGAGAGGAGAGGAGAGGAGAGGAGAG
rnacentral:lncRNA from 1 species